UACGUAGGGGGCAAGCGUUGUCCGGAUUUAUUGGGCGUAAAGAGCUCGUAGGUGGUUUGGUAAGUCGGAUGUGAAAUCUCCAGGCUCAACCUGGAGGGGUCAUUCGAUACUGCCAUGACUAGAGUGUGGUAGGGGAGACUGGAAUUCCUGGUGUAGCGGUGAAAUGCGCAGAUAUCAGGAGGAACACCGGUGGCGAAGGCGGGUCUCUGGGCCGAAAUUGACGCUGAGGAGCGAAAGCGUGGGGAGCAAACAGG
rnacentral:rRNA from 1 species